AGGGUUUGAUCCUGGCUCAGGACGAACGCUGGCGGCGUGCUUAACACAUGCAAGUCGAGCGAUGAAGUUUCUUCGGAAAUGAAUUAGCGGCGAACGGGUGAGGAACACGUGAAGAAUCUGCCCUCCACUUUGGGAUAACACCGGGAAACCGGUGCUAAUACCGAAUAUUGAAACAUAAGUGGCAUCACUGAGUUUUGAAAGAAUUUCGGUGGAGGAUGACUUCGCGGCCUAUCAGCUAGUUGGUGAGGUAAUGGCUCACCAAGGCAACGACGGGUAGCCGGCCUGAGAGGGCGACCGGCCACACUGGGACUGAGACACGGCCCAGACUCCUACGGGAGGCAGCAGUGGGGAAUAUUGGGCAAUGGAGGAAACUCUGACCCAGCGACGCCGCGUGCGGGAUGAAGGCCUUCGGGUUGUAAACCGCUUUCAGUAGGGAAGAAGCGAAAGUGACGGUACCUACAAAAGAAGCACCGGCUAACUAUGUGCCAGCCGCCGCGGUAAUACA
rnacentral:rRNA from 1 species